rnacentral:rRNA from 1 species
AUUGAACGCUGGCGGCCGGCCGAACACAUGCAAGUCGAGCGAGCAGCGGACGGGUGAGGAAUGUGUGGGGAUGUGCCAGAUAGGGGGGGGUAACUACGGGAAACGUUGGCAACCACCUCAUAAUCUCGGAUGAACCCAGAUGGGAUUGGCUAGUGGGUGGGGUAAAGGCUCACAUAGGCGACGAUCUCUAGCUGGUCUGAGAGGAGGAUCAGCCAAACUGGGACUGUGACACGGUCCAGACGCCUACGUGCGGCAGCAGUUGGGAAUAUUGCACAAUGGGCGCAAGCCUGAUGCAGCCCUGCCGCGUCUAUUAAGAAGGCCUUAGGGUUUUAAAGCACUUUCAGUGUGGCGGCGUUCCCCUUAGAAGAAGCACCGGCUAACUCCGUGCCAGCAGCCGCGGUAAUAC